GGAGUUGGUUAGGCAGUCGCUGUAUUGUUGAUACGAUAUAGAGGAAAGUCCGGGCUUCAUAGGACAGGGUGCCAGGUAACGCCUGGGAGGCGUGAGCCUACGGAAAGUGCCACAGAAAAUAUACCGCCUUUUUUCAGUGAACAGUGAACAGUUAUCAGUUUAUUGGUAGCGCGUUACGGGUAAUUGGAUUAGGUAAGGGUGAAAAGGUGUCGGUAAGAGCGCACCGCGUUGUUGGUAACAUCAAUGGCAGGGUAAACCCCACCUGAAGCAAGACCAAAUAAUGGAACCGUAUUUAAUUAUACAGAUGUGGUCCGCAUCGUUCCAGGGUAGGUCGCAAGAGGUGCUUGGUGACAAGCAUCCCAGAUGAAUGGCUGCUACAUGGGUUAGCCUAUUCCUUUGAAAAAAGGGAGAAUUUAGCCCGUGGACAGAACCCGGCUUACAACUAACUCCUUCC
rnacentral:RNase_P_RNA from 1 species